GGAUUAGAUACCCUGGUAGUCCACGCCGUAAACGAUGUCUACUAGUUGUUGGGAGACUUGAUCUCUUAGUAACGAAGCUAACGCGAUAAGUAGACCGCCUGGGGAGUACGGCCGCAAGGUUAAAACUCAAAUGAAUUGACGGGGGCCCGCACAAGCGGUGGAGCAUGUGGUUUAAUUCGAUGCAACGCGAAGAACCUUACCUACACUUGACAUCCAGAGAACUUUCUAGAGAUAGAUUGGUGCCUUCGGGAACUCUGAGACAGGUGCUGCAUGGCCGUCGUCAGCUCGUGUUG
rnacentral:rRNA from 1 species